rnacentral:misc_RNA from 1 species
CGCAUAUUGCGCCCUUUGGUAUUCCGAAGGGCAUGCCUGUUCGAGCGUCAUUAUCACCUCUCAAGCCUGGCUUGUUGUUGGACCUGGGCGGUAGUUUAGCUAUCGCCCGUCCCAAAGAUAAUGACGGCGUCUGUGAUGACCCCAGUACACUGAGCUUUCUAAGCACGUAUUAGGUGGAAGUCCAGGCCCGGUCUUAACUAUUUUUUAACAAGGUUGACCUCGGAUCAGGUAGGAAUACCCGCUGAACUUAA